AACAAAUCGUUGAUCAGGAGAGUACACUGGAUGGAAUCUACAGCGAGGCAGUGGAGAGUGGAAGUCUGCCAGAGAAAGUCUUGUGGAAACGCACCUGUGAGAGCCUGGGUGAAUUCAUAGCUCAGGACGGGUUUCCCCCACGUUACGGGAUGAGAGGCCUUGUUGGAGGCAACUGGAGUGGUACCGCGUGUAAUAGCGUCUUCGGA
rnacentral:ncRNA from 1 species